UGGGGAAUAUUGCACAAUGGGCGCAAGCCUGAUGCAGACAUGCCGCGUGUGUGAAGAAGGCCUUCGGGUUGUAAAGCACUUUCAGCGGGGAGGAAGGCGUUAAGGUUAAUAACCUUGGCGAUUGACGUUACCCGCAGAAGAAGCACCGGCUAACUCCGUGCCAGCAGCCGCGGUAAUACGGAGGGUGCAAGCGUUAAUCGGAAUUACUGGGCGUAAAGCGCACGCAGGCGGUCUGUCAAGUCGGAUGUGAAAUCCCCGGGCUUAACCUGGGAACUGCAUUCGAAACUGGCAGGCUAGAGUCUUGUAGAGGGGGGUAGAAUUCCAGGUGUAGCGGUGAAAUGCGUAGAGAUCUGGAGGAAUACCGGUGGCGAAGGCGGCCCCCUGGACAAAGACUGACGCUCAGGUGCGAAAGCGUGGGGAGCAAACAGG
rnacentral:rRNA from 1 species